UACAGAGGGCGCAAGCGUUGUUAGGAAUUACUGGGCGUAAAGGGCGUGUAGGCGGCUUAGCAAGUCAGAUGUGAAAUCCCGGGACUUAACUUCGGAAGUGCAUUUGAAACUGCUAGGCUAGAGUGAGGUAGAGGUUGGUGGAAUUCCCAGUGUAGAGGUGAAAUUCGUAGAUAUUGGGAGGAACACCGGUGGCGAAGGCGGCCAGCUGGGCCUUAACUGACGCUGAGGGGCGAAAGCGUGGGGAGCAAACAGG
rnacentral:rRNA from 1 species